UUUUUUUAGGGGUGUAAAUUAGCUUUUUUAAACUAUUGGGGCGUCGGGGAAAGUCUUAUCCCACGUCGGGUUUUCUUGAAAUUUCUCACGUCGCCGUGGGUUUUGCGAAAUUACAACAAUGCCCUUAUAUAUAAACACAGCCAAAUUUCUUAUUUCCCACGAUAAUCUUUGCGAUUUUACUGUACAUUUCAAAGAAAACUCAAAACUUUCCACGUUCAUCCCACGGCGGACCACAUUUCCGCCGAUUUUCUUGCUUUCCGGCAGCCGCAAAUGGCAAAGAAGUUUAACUUACAGGAAAAAAUUUACAAAAAAAAGCCUCAAUCAUAGUGAUGAAUCCUUUAAGAAACUUCCCACAUGGCGCAAAGCCGAAAGCAACAUUCACUGCAGCUUUCAUCUUUUUGCUCUCGUUUCUGUCACCAAAAUCUGUUUCAGGAGAAGUUAGUGAUGAUGAUAAGAAUUUUUUCGAGAUGAAACUUGGUUCAAGCCCUCCAGCUUGUGCAAACAAGUGCUUUAAUUGCAGGCCUUGCAUGGCUACUCUUGUACUUAUUGAUGACAGUAAAAAGCCUCCAAGAGCAGCACUAAAUAAUAUUGAUCUUCAAGAUUAUAUUGAGAGUUA